CAAGAUAAAGAGAUGGACAUUUUAGCAAAACUAAGUGAAAACCUUGUAAAAUUUUUGGAUUAUGUUUCUACAUUUAAACAUCUACUGGGGGAGGUAGAGGCCAAUUCUAUGCAGUUCAAACCUGGAAUUGCUGACAGAUGUUAAGGGUAUGCUCCACAGGUAUUGAUGCCUAAAAUGCCCUGAACUCUUUUCAUUUAGAUUAACAAAAAUAUGGUUUUAGUUUUCCUCCUCUAUAUUCUGGCUUAGACAGAAUUAUCAAGCUAUUUCAAGUGGAUUUGAUUCUAGAUCUUGCCUUGGUUCUAGAUCUUGACACAGCACAUCCUCAACUUACUGUCUCCGAGAAUAGAAAAGCUGUGUGAUAUGGAAGAACAAAACCAAACAUUUGUUAUAGCUCAAGGAGAUUUUAUUUCUGCCCUGCUGUCCUGGGCUGUCAGAAGUGUAGUUCUGGCAGAAAUUACUAGAAGGUAGAAGUGGGAAACGAUCCUAAAUGAAAAUUGGGUGUGUGUUAAGACUGUCUUCUUAGGAACUGGCAGAAUCGGCCUUCAGUUCUGGGUAGAUUUUGGGCAAUUGGGUGAUAUAUAGAUAGAGUGGUUAUGUUGCAUCAGGUCCUAAGGCAACUCAGCUUCUGCUAGUAGUAAAAUCCAGUAAGAUUGGUAUUUUUUUGGACUAUGAAUUGGGUGAUUUUUUAAAAUAAUAAUUUUUAAAAUAUGUCAAUUUUG
rnacentral:lncRNA from 1 species